rnacentral:rRNA from 1 species
UACGGAGGGGGCAAGCGUUGUCCGGACUUACUGGGCGUAAAGGGUGCGUAGGCGGCCUGCUGCGUCGGUGCUGAAAGCGCCCGGCUUAACCGGGCGAGGCGUGCCGAUACGAGCGGGCUGGAGCCUUGGCGAGGGUGGCGGAACUCCUGGUGUAGUGGUGAAAUGCGUAGAGAUCAGGAAGAACACCCGUGGCGCAAGCGGCCACCUGGCCAAGAGCUGACGCUGAGGCGCGAAAGCUAGGGUAGCAAACGGG